rnacentral:rRNA from 1 species
AUUGAACGCUGGCGGCAGGCUUAACACAUGCAAGUCGAGCGAGCGGCGGACGGGUGAGUCAUGUCUGGGAAACUGCCUGAUGGAGGGGGAUAACUACUGGACACGGUAGCUAAUACCGCCUACCAUCAGCUGUGCCCAUAUGGGAUUAGCUAGUAGGUGGGGUAAUGGCUCACCUAGGCCACGAUCCCUAGCUGGUCUGAGAGGAUGACCAGCCACACGGGAACUGAGACACGGUCCAGACUCCGACGGGAGGCAGCAGUGGGGAAUAGUGCACAAGGGGCGCAAGCCUGAUGCAGCCAGGCCGCGUGUGUGAAGAAGGCCUUCGGGUUGUAAAGUACUUUCAGCGAGGAGGCGUUACUCGCAGAAGAAGCACCGGCUAACUCCGUGCCAGCAGCCGCGGUAAUUC